rnacentral:rRNA from 1 species
AGGAUGAACGCUUUUUACAGGCUUAACACAUGCAAGUCGAGGGGCAGCAUGGUCUUAGCUUGCUAAGGCCGAUGGCGACCGGCGCACGGGUGAGUAACACGUAUCCAACCUGCCGUCUACUCUUGGACAGCCUUCUGAAAGGAAGAUUAAUACAAGAUGGCAUCAUGAGUCCGCAUGUUCACAUGAUUAAAGGUAUUCCGGUAGACGAUGGGGAUGCGUUCCAUUAGAUAGUAGGCGGGGUAACGGCCCACCUAGUCUUCGAUGGAUAGGGGUUCUGAGAGGAAGGUCCCCCACAUUGGAACUGAGACACGGUCCAAACUCCUACGGGAGGCAGCAGUGAGGAAUAUUGGUCAAUGGGCGAGAGCCUGAACCAGCCAAGUAGCGUGAAGGAUGACUGCCCUAUGGGUUGUAAACUUCUUUUAUAAAGGAAUAAAGUCGGGUAUGGAUACCCGUUUGCAUGUACUUUAUGAAUAAGGAUCGGCUAACUCCGUGCCAGCAGCCGCGGUAAUACGGAGGAUCCGAGCGUUAUCCGGAUUUAUUGGGUUUAAAGGGAGCGUAGAUGGAUGUUUAAGUCAGUUGUGAAAGUUUGCGGCUCAACCGUAAAAUUGCAGUUGAUACUGGAUAUCUUGAGUGCAGUUGAGGCAGGCGGAAUUCGUGGUGUAGCGGUGAAAUGCUUAGAUAUCACGAAGAACUCCGAUUGCGAAGGCAGCCUGCUAAGCUGCAACUGACAUUGAGGCUCGAAAGUGUGGGUAUCAAACAGGAUUAGAUACCCUGGUAGUCCACACGGUAAACGAUGAAUACUCGCUGUUUGCGAUAUACUGCAAGCGGCCAAGCGAAAGCGUUAAGUAUUCCACCUGGGGAGUACGCCGGCAACGGUGAAACUCAAAGGAAUUGACGGGGGCCCGCACAAGCGGAGGAACAUGUGGUUUAAUUCGAUGAUACGCGAGGAACCUUACCCGGGCUUAAAUUGCAGAUGAAUUACGGUGAAAGCCGUAAGCCGCAAGGCAUCUGUGAAGGUGCUGCAUGGUUGUCGUCAGCUCGUGCCGUGAGGUGUCGGCUUAAGUGCCAUAACGAGCGCAACCCUUGUUGUCAGUUACUAACAGGUUCCGCUGAGGACUCUGACAAGACUGCCAUCGUAAGAUGUGAGGAAGGUGGGGAUGACGUCAAAUCAGCACGGCCCUUACGUCCGGGGCUACACACGUGUUACAAUGGGGGGUACAGAGGGCCGCUACCACGCGAGUGGAUGCCAAUCCCCAAAACCUCUCUCAGUUCGGACUGGAGUCUGCAACCCGACUCCACGAAGCUGGAUUCGCUAGUAAUCGCGCAUCAGCCACGGCGCGGUGAAUACGUUCCCGGGCCUUGUACACACCGCCCGUCAAGCCAUGGGAGCCGGGGGUACCUGAAGUGCGUAACCGCGAGGAGCGCCCUAGGGUAAAACUGGUGACUGGGGCUAAGUCAU